GAUCCUGGCUCAGGACGAACGCUGGCGGCGUGCCUAAUACAUGCAAGUAGAACGCUGAAGGAGGAGCUUGCUUCUCCGGAUGAGUUGCGAACGGGUGAGUAACGCGUAGGUAACCUGCCUGGUAGCGGGGGAUAACUAUUGGAAACGAUAGCUAAUACCGCAUAACAGUAGAUAUCGCAUGAUAACUGCUUAAAAGGUGCAAUUGCAUCACUACCAGAUGGACCUGCGUUGUA
rnacentral:rRNA from 1 species